CAGAUGUAGCAAGUAUGGAGGUCACAAUAUAAGAACUCGUCACAAGAGAGGCAAGAAAACAAGUAAUAUAGCUAGCUCUUCAAACCCAAACCUACAUCAUAAUGAUGCAGCUGGGUAUUCAAACCCAAACCCAUAUCAGCAUGAUGUAACUGGAUCUUCCAGUGGGAUUAACAUUGCAAUGAGAAUUAGAACUGCUGAUAGUAUUCCCCACGCAGCUGCUACCCCACAAGGAUCUGAAUUUAUUGUCAGAAAUCCUAGCCAACACAAUAUGAAUACAUCAGGAGGUUCCAGCCACCAGCAACUCCAUGUACUGCAUUCGUUUCCACAUCCAAAGGUAGACGCAACAGAGCAUCAGUGGCUUCUGGGUCUUCUGGUUCUCGCAAAGGGGGAGGCAAGAGAGGCAAAGCUAUGUCAAAUGGAAGUGCUCCAAGAUUUAUGACCCAACAGCCACCAAGAAAAAGGAGUAGGGUUUCUGUAACUGUACCUGGGUUUUAAGCCAGCCACCACCACAGCAUUAAAGUUCCUUUAUACUAAGAGUCUACAGUUGGGCAUUUGAAUGACAAGGUGUUGUUGAUUUGA